CAGCCGCCGCGGGAAUACGUAGGUGGCAAGCGUUGUCCGGAAUUAUUGGGCGUAAAGGGCUCGCGGGCGGUUUCUUAAGUCUGAUGUAAAAGCCCCCGGCUCAACCGGGGAGGGUCAUUGGAAACUGGGAAACUUGAGUGCAGAAGAGGAGAGUGGAAUUCCACGUGUAGCGGUGAAAUGCGUAGAGAUGUGGAGGAACACCAGUGGCGAAGGCGACCCUCUGGUCUGUAACUGACGCUGAGGAGCGAAAGCGUGGGGAGCGAACAGGAUUAGAUACCCCGGUAGUCCCUGUCUCUUAUAC
rnacentral:rRNA from 1 species